rnacentral:rRNA from 1 species
AACGAACGCUGGCGGCAUGCCUAACACAUGCAAGUCGAACGAUGCCUUCGGGCAUAGUGGCGCACGGGUGCGUAACGCGUGGGAAUCUGCCUUUCGGUUCGGAAUAACUCAGGGAAACUUGAGCUAAUACCGGAUAACGUCGCAAGACCAAAGAUUUAUCACCGAAAGAUGAGCCCGCGUAGGAUUAGCUAGUUGGUGAGGUAAAGGCUCACCAAGGCGACGAUCCUUAGCUGGUCUGAGAGGAUGAUCAGCCACACUGGGACUGAGACACGGCCCAGACUCCUACGGGAGGCAGCAGUGGGGAAUAUUGGACAAUGGGCGAAAGCCUGAUCCAGCAAUGCCGCGUGAGUGAUGAAGGCCUCAGGGUUGUAAAGCUCUUUUACCCGGGAAGAUAAUGACGGUACCGGGAGAAUAAGCCCCGGCUAACUCCGUG